AUUGAGCGCUGGCGGCAUGCCUUACACAUGCAAGUCGAACGGUAACAGGUCUUCGGAUGCUGACGAGUGGCGAACGGGUGAGUAAUACAUCGGAACGUGCCCGAGAGUGGGGGAUAACGAGGCGAAAGCUUUGCUAAUACCGCAUACGAUCUCAGGAUGAAAGCAGGGGACCGCAAGGCCUUGCGCUCACGGAGCGGCCGAUGGCAGAUUAGGUAGUUGGUGGGAUAAAAGCUUACCAAGCCGACGAUCUGUAGCUGGUCUGAGAGGACGACCAGCCACACUGGGACUGAGACACGGCCCAGACUCCUACGGGAGGCAGCAGUGGGGAAUUUUGGACAAUGGGCGCAAGCCUGAUCCAGCCAUGCCGCGUGCAGGAUGAAGGCCUUCGGGUUGUAAACUGCUUUUGUACGGAACGAAAAGACUCCUUCUAAUAAAGGGGGUUCAUGACGGUACCGUAAGAAUAAGCACCGGCUAACUACGUGCCAGCCGCCGCGGUAAUAC
rnacentral:rRNA from 1 species